rnacentral:lncRNA from 1 species
AACCCCAGGAACGGCUGCGGGAAAUAUUCGAGCUUCCCACCGAGUCAUCUACCUCGCGAUCAAAUGCGCUCUGAGGAUGGCUAUUGGUGAUGGCAUCGGAGAGCUGCCACGGACCCCUCCCCCAGGCCUUUGUGAGUGGAUUUAACUUUAAAAACAUCUCCCGUUAGCCUCUGAGGCUGGAAUCUGAUAGAAACUUCUGCCCAGGGCUGCAGGCAACCUGAGUGCCUGGUCUUGCUGCUUCUUUGAGAAAAAGCCACUUGCCUGCCCAGUAUGGUGGUGGU